UAGUCCACGCCGUAAACGAUGUCUACUAGCCGUUGGGGAACUUGAUUCCUUAGUGGCGCAGCUAACGCAAUAAGUAGACCGCCUGGGGAGUACGGCCGCAAGGUUAAAACUCAAAUGAAUUGACGGGGGCCCGCACAAGCGGUGGAGCAUGUGGUUUAAUUCGAUGCAACGCGAAGAACCUUACCAGGUCUUGACAUCCUCGGAACUUUCCAGAGAUGGAUUGGUGCCUUCGGGAACCGAGUGACAGGUGCUGCAUGGCUGUCGUCAGCUCGUGUCGUGAGAUGUUGGGUUAAGUCCCGCAACGAGCGCAACCCUCAUCCUUAGUUGCCAGCAUUUAGUUGGGCACUCUAAGGAAACUGCCGGUGAUAAGCCGGAGGAAGGUGGGGAUGACGUCAAGUCCUCAUGGGCCCUUACAAGCUGGGGCUACACACGUGCUACAAUGGGCGAUGACAGUGAGCAGCUAA
rnacentral:rRNA from 1 species